AGUAAGACGUUUUUAACCGAAAAAAACGACCAUGUAUAGUAAGGCGUUUUUAGCCGAAAAAAACGGCCAUGUAUAGUAAGGCGUUUUUGGAUGAAAUUUUUAGCUGAAAAAAACGACCAUGUAUAGUAAGGCGUUUUUAGCCGAAAAAAACGACCAUGUAUAGUAAGCCGUUUUUAGCCGAAAAAAAAGGACCAUGUAUAGUAAAACGUUUUUAGCCGAAAAAAACGACUAUGUACAGUAAGACGUUUUUAACCGAAAAAAACGACCAUGUAUAGUAAGGAGUUUUUAGCCGAAAAAAACGACCAUGUAUAGUAAGGCGUUUUUAGCCGAAAAAAAAGGACCAUGUAUAGUAAAACGUUUUUAGCCGAAAAAAACGACCAUGUAUAGUAAGGCGUUUUUAGCCGAAAAAAACGACCAUGUAUAGUAAGGCGUUUUUAGUCGAAAAAAACGACCAUGUAUAGUAAGGCGUUUUUAGCCGAAAAAAAGGACCAUGUAUAGUAAGGAGUUUUUAGCCGAAAAAAACGACCAUGUAUAGUAAGGCGUUUUUAGCCGAAAAAAAGGACCAUGUAUAGUAAGGCGUUUUUAGCCGAAAAAAAAGGACCAUGUAUAUAAGGCGUUUUUAGCCGAAAAAAAAGGACCAUGUAUAGUAAAACGUUUUUAGCCGAAAAAAACGACCAUGUACAGUAAGACGUUUUUAACCGAAAAAAACGACCAUGUAUAGUAAGGAGUUUUUAGCCGAAAAAAAGGACCAUGUAUAGUAAGGCGUUUUUAGCCGAAAAAAAGGACCAUGUAUAGUAAGGCGUUUUUAGCCGAAAAAAAAGACCAUGUAUAGUAAGCCAUUUUUAGCCGAAAAAAACGACCAUGUAUAGUAAGCCGUUUUUAGCCGAAAAAAACGACCAUGUAUAGUAAAACGUUUUUAGCCGAAAAAAACGACCAUGUACAGUAAGACGUUUUUAACCGAAAAAAACGACCAUGUAUAGUAAGGCGUUUUUAGCCGAAAAAAACGACCAUGUAUAGUAAGCCGUUUUUAGCCGAAAAAAAAGGACCAUGUAUAGUAAAACGUUUUUAGCCGAAAAAAACGACUAUGUACAGUAAGACGUUUUUAACCGAAAAAAACGACCAUGUAUAGUAAGGAGUUUUUAGCCGAAAAAAACGACCAUGUAUAGUAAGGCGUUUUUAGCCGAAAAAAAAGGACCAUGUAUAGUAAAACGUUUUUAGCCGAAAAAAACGACCAUGUACAGUAAGACGUUUUUAACCGAAAAAAACGACCAUGUAUAGUAAGGAGUUUUUAGCCGAAAAAAAGGACCAUGUAUAGUAAGGCGUUUUUAGCCGAAAAAAAGGACCAUGUAUAGUAAGGCGUUUUUAGCCGAAAAAAAAGACCAUGUAUAGUAAGCCAUUUUUAGCCGAAAAAAACGACCAUGUAUAGUAAGCCGUUUUUAGCCGAAAAAAACGACCAUGUAUAGUAAGCCGUUUUUAGCCGAAAAAAAAAGGACCAUGUAUAGUAAAACGUUUUUAGCCGAAAAAAACGACCAUGUACAGUAAGACGUUUUUAACCGAAAAAAACGACCAUGUAUAGUAAGGCGUUUUUAGCCGAAAAAAACGACCAUGUAUAGUAAGGCGUUUUUAGUCGAAAAAAAGGACCAUGUAUAGUAAGGCGUUUUUAGCCGAAAAAAAAGGACCAUGUAUAGUAAGGCGUUUUUAGCCAAAAAAAACGACCAUGUAUAGUAAGACAUUUUUAGCUGAAAAAAACGGCCAUGUAUAGUAAGGCGUUUUUAGCCGGAAAAAAAGGACCAUGUAUAGUAAGGCGUUUUUAGCCGAAAAAAACGACCAUGUAUAGUAAGGCGUUUUUAGCCGACAAAAACGACCAUGUAUAGUAAGGCGUUUUUAGCCGACAAAAACGACCAUGUAUAGUAAAACGUUUUUAGCCGAAAAAAACGACCAUGUACAGUAAGGCGUUUUUAGCCGAAAAAAACGACCAUGUAUAGUAAGGCGUUUUUAGCCGAAAAAAACGACCAUGUAUAGUAAGGCGUUUUUAGUCGAAAAAAAAGACCAUGUAUAGUAAUGCGUUUUUAGCCGAAAAAAACGACCAUGUAUAGUAAGCCGUUUUUAGCCGAAAAAAAAGGACCAUGUAUAGUAAAACGUUUUUAGCCGAAAAAAACGACUAUGUACAGUAAGACGUUUUUAACCGAAAAAAACGACCAUGUAUAGUAAGGAGUUUUUAGCCGAAAAAAACGACCAUGUAUAGUAAGGCGUUUUUAGCCGAAAAAAAAGGACCAUGUAUAGUAAAACGUUUUUAGCCGAAAAAAACGACCAUGUACAGUAAGACGUUUUUAACCGAAAAAAACGACCAUGUAUAGUAAGGAGUUUUUAGCCGAAAAAAAGGACCAUGUAUAGUAAGGCGUUUUUAGCCGAAAAAAAGGACCAUGUAUAGUAAGGCGUUUUUAGCCGAAAAAAAAGACCAUGUAUAGUAAGCCAUUUUUAGCCGAAAAAAACGACCAUGUAUAGUAAGCCGUUUUUAGCCGAAAAAAACGACCAUGUAUAGUAAGCCGUUUUUAGCCGAAAAAAAAAGGACCAUGUAUAGUAAAACGUUUUUAGCCGAAAAAAACGACCAUGUACAGUAAGACGUUUUUAACCGAAAAAAACGACCAUGUAUAGUAAGGCGUUUUUAGCCGAAAAAAACGACCAUGUAUAGUAAGGAGUUUUUAGCCGAAAAAAAGGACCAUGUAUAGUAAGGCGUUUUUAGCCGAAAAAAACGACCAUGUACAGUAAGGCGUUUUUAGCCGAAAAAAAAGGACCAUGUAUAGUAAGGCGUUUUUAGCCAAAAAAAACGACCAUGUAUAGUAAGACAUUUUUAGCUGAAAAAAACGGCCAUGUAUAGUAAGGCGUUUUUAGCCGGAAAAAAAGGACCAUGUAUAGUAAGGCGUUUUUAGCCGAAAAAAACGACCAUGUAUAGUAAGGCGUUUUUAGCCGACAAAAACGACCAUGUAUAGUAAGGCGUUUUUAGCCGACAAAAACGACCAUGUAUAGUAAAACGUUUUUAGCCGAAAAAAACGACCAUGUACAGUAAGGCGUUUUUAGCCGAAAAAAACGACCAUGUAUAGUAAGGCGUUUUUAGCCGAAAAAAACGACCAUGUAUAGUAAGGCGUUUUUAGUCGAAAAAAAAGACCAUGUAUAGUAAUGCGUUUUUAGCCGAAAAAAACGACCAUGUAUAGUAAGGCGUUUUUAGCAGAAAAAAACGACCAUGUACAGUAAGCCGUUUUUAGCCGAAAAAAAAACGACCAUGUAUAGUAAGGCGUUUUUAGCCGAAAAAAACGACCAUGUAUAGUAAGGCGUUUUUAGCCGAAAAAAAAGACCAUGUAUAGUAAGGCGUUUUUAGCCGAAAAAAACGACCAUGUAUAGUAAGGCGUUUUUAGCAGAAAAAAACGACCAUGUACAGUAAGGCGUUUUUAGCCGAAAAAAAACGACCAUGUAUAGUAAGGCGUUUUUAGCCGAAAAAAAAGACCAUGUAUAGUAAGGCGUUUUUAGUCGAAAAAAAAGACCA